rnacentral:rRNA from 1 species
AGAAUUUGAUCUUGGUUCAGAUUGAAUGCUGACAGCGUGGAUGAGGCAUGCAAGUCGAACGAUAUAGGGGCAACUCUAUAUAGUGGCGCAAGGGUUAGUAAUACAUGGAUAAUCUACCUUUUACGCUGGGAUAACGGCUGGAAACGGCCGCUAAUACCGGAUGAGGUGAUUUAGGGCAUCCUAGAUCAUCAACGUGGGGGAUCGUAAGACCUCGCAGUAAAAGAAGAGUCCAUGGGAUAUCAGCUAGUUGGUGGGGUAAGAGCCUACCAAGGCUAAGACGUCUAGGCGGAUUGAGAGAUUGACCGCCAACACUGGGACUGAGAUACUGCCCAGACUCCUACGGGAGGCUGCAGUCGAGAAUCUUUCGCAAUGGGCGCAAGCCUGACGAAGCGACGCCGUGUGAGCGAAGAAGGCCUUCGGGUUGUAAAGCUCUUUCGCUAGGGAACAAGAGAGGUAGGUAAAUAAUCUACUGAUUUGAUGGUACUUGGUAAAGAAGCACCGGCUAACUCCGUGCCAGCAGCUGCGGUAAUACGGAGGGUGCAAGCAUUGAUCGGAAUUACUGGGCGUAAAGGGCGCGUAGGCGGUUAGAAAAGUCAGAUGUGAAAUUCCGGGGCUCAACCUCGGAGCUGCAUUUGAAACUUUCUAGCUAGAGUUCAGUUAGGGAAAAUGGAAUUCCACGUGUAGCGGUGAAAUGCGUAGAUAUGUGGAAGAACACCGGUGGUGAAGACGAUUUUCUGGACUGAUACUGACGCUGAGGCGCGAAAGCAAGGGGAGCAAACAGGAUUAGAUACCCUGGUAGUCCUUGCCGUAAACGAUGCAUACUAGAUGUAGAGAGGCUCAACCCUUUCUGUAUCGGAGCUAACGCAUUAAGUAUGCCGCCUGGGGAGUACGCUCGCAAGGGUGAAACUCAAAAGAAUUGACGGGGGCCCGCACAAGCAGUGGAGCAUGUGGUAUCGUGACUGGGAAC